GUGACCCACUUGUUCGCUUCAUUGUUCCAUUGCUCUGCCUUCACAAUUCCAGUAACCAUCAUGCCUUUCGGCAUAUCUUUCAGGAAACAUUUUGGUUUUGAUCCAUCAAAGUAAAAAUGAACUGCCUGUGACUGGAAAAAAAAGGUAAAAAGUAAUAAACCGAAAAUUCCCAGCUUCAUCGUCGUUUAAGGAAAGGUGAUGGUUAAGGGUGUGUUUGGUUCUGCACACAGCACUGACUACUAGUUUGAAGAAACACUUACGCCAAUCAAGCUCAAAGAGUUUUGUUUCAAUUUAGUUAUCCGUAUAAAAAUAUUCUAUUGACUUUAUAAUAUUAUUAAUUCUAUUACCUUAAAAGUGUUCUUUGUUAUUGUUAAAGCAAAUGUCGGGGUCAAAGUUCGACUUGCACAAGUAUUGACACCUUACAAAGAAAAUGAGUACAUUAUUCUUCCUAAACAAACUUUUUGUA